rnacentral:rRNA from 1 species
GAUGAACGCUGGCGGCGUGCCUAAUACAUGCAAGUCGAGCGAACAGACGAGGAGCUUGCUCCUCUGACGUUAGCGGCGGACGGGUGAGUAACACGUGGAUAACCUACCUAUAAGACUGGGAUAACUUCGGGAAACCGGAGCUAAUACCGGAUAAUAUAUUGAACCGCAUGGUUCAAUAGUGAAAGACGGUUUUGCUGUCACUUAUAGAUGGAUCCGCGCCGCAUUAGCUAGUUGGUAAGGUAACGGCUUACCAAGGCAACGAUGCGUAGCCGACCUGAGAGGGUGAUCAGCCACACUGGAACUGAGACACGGUCCAGACUCCUACGGGAGGCAGCAGUAGGGAAUCUUCCGCAAUGGGCGAAAGCCUGACGGAGCAACGUCGCGUGAGUGAUGAAGGUCUUCGGAUCGUAAAACUCUGUUAUUAGGGAAGAACAAAUGUGUAAGUAACUAUGCACGUCUUGACGGUACCUAAUCAGAAAGCCACGGCUAACUACGUG